UACAGAGGGUGCAAGCGUUAAUCGGAAUUACUGGGCGUAAAGCGCGCGUAGGUGGUUUGUUAAGUUGGAUGUGAAAUCCCCGGGCUCAACCUGGGAACUGCAUCCAAACUGGCAAGCUAGAGUAUGGUAGAGGGUGGUGGAAUUUCCUGUGUAGCGGUGAAAUGCGUAGAUAUAGGAAGGAACACCAGUGGCGAAGGCGACCACCUGGACUGAUACUGACACUGAGGUGCGAAAGCGUGGGGAGCAAACAGG
rnacentral:rRNA from 1 species